CAAUUCCAUGGGAAAGGUUUUUAGAUUUUUUUGUUGCCAUUUAGUAGUACCCCAUAUGCAGAAAGUGUGUCCCUAUUUGCUGUGUCCUUAUCUCUAACUUUGAGUUAACUUGAACUUUAUAUCUGGAAGUUAGGUCCAACUAAGUCUUACCUACCAAGUGAUUGGAAACUGUGGCAGAACAGGCUUUUCUGUAGGAUUCUCCUUCCUGCUCAUGUGCAAGCUAUUCAGGAUGUCUCGAAGUUUGAAACACGAUGAACCUGAAACAAAGCUGGCAAACUGGUAUAAGAGAGAAGGCAAGGGGGCCGGCCC